rnacentral:lncRNA from 1 species
CUCAGGCACUGACUGUGACGACGCGGGUGGGGAGAGACUGUGCACCUACACGUGUCACUUCACAAAGGCCUCCAGAUUCCAACAAGUUGACAAACGGUGCAAAUGUCAGAGAUUAAAAUAUCUCCUUCAUUGCUGAUAAGGCUGAGUUGGCGAAUUCUUCUUGGAUCCAAUACAAAAAUGAGAUUGUUUCCAUUUCUCACCUGAAUUAAACUUACAGGGCAGAGGUGACCUGCUUAGUGAGCAGGCCACGUUCAGCAAUAGCAGAUCAAAGACCCGUAUGUCUUGUGAUCUUCAUGAAGUGGCUGGCAAGGCCAGAGAUUCUGAUCCCAUCACCACGUGUUAAUCUCCUGUCAAGAGAAAUAAGGAGCUACUGAGAGAAAAGCAGAUCCUGACUCCCCUCUACUUGUGAGUGACUACAAAAUCCUAUUUUGUGGCGUGAGGCAGGAGCCUAGAGAGAUUGGAGAAAAAAGCUGCUCCUCUAGAAUAUGAAAAUACCGUUUAAAGGGAAAGAGAUUAAUUAGUGAUUGAGCGCAUUCAGUGCUGUCUCUCCUCCUAUUUAUCUGGCUGCCUGUUGUCUGCAUGGCCUCCUGCUACUCAUUGUGGGUAACAUCGGAGACCUUCAUCUGCAGGAAGAUAGAAAAAGGGGCUUAUGAUCAGGCAAAGGAGACACCAGGAAAGAGGAGCAGAGUGGCUAGGGCAGUGCACUGCAGAUGCAUGGACGAAAGCUCGCAGCGACACAGGUAUGGGGUGUCUAAUCAGGGAUGAGUGUGAGCAGCAGAAUGAGGAGCAUGCUUUCCCAGAGGAAGAGAGGAAGCCACUGGAGAGAUGAAGGAUGCCAUGGACAGGAGAUGAGUCCUGGUCCAGCCUGUAAUAAGAUGGAAAUGAAGAGAGCUGCCGAAUAAUGAAAAAUCACUCAAAAGGGGCAGAUUCUGAUGACGGCACAGGGGCCACCAAAGACUGGAGAUAUGAAGAGUGGCUGAGGUGGUGUCUCUGGAGCCGCCGAGCAGCAGCCUCAUUGCUCAGAAGAUGAAGAUGCUGACGAAGACCCAGACAGGAAAAAAGGAAGAAAAAGCAUCCUGAUUGUUCCAUUAGCAAAGCCACAGUCCCGGAGAGCAAGGGGAGGGGCACAGCAGGCAGCCGCACCCAUGGGAUGCAUCUGCAGCUUGUGAGCAAUGCAUGAAAGAUGAAUCACACAGCAGCAAUGCCUUCAGCUUCCGUGUGCUAUGGCUCACUCAGCACCAGCUCUGCAGGCUGCCUAAGCCAGAAGUCAGUCUCUGCCUUUAGACUUGCUCACUUCUUUUAGGAACGGAGAUAUCCUCUGAUCCCUUGUCCUACAACCUCGAUUAAUAUCUUUCCAACAGCCAUCUGCCAAACUCAAGAAGACCCUGGAACAACCUAAUUGGAAAAGUUUCCAUCUUAUCCCUUGGAAAACUAUAGAAAAGUAGUGUCACACAAAUGUUUAAUUUCUGAUUUCUACAAUUUCAGAUACCAGAGUUUAUCUGUUACCAUGACAACUAACAGCUUUAUAAAUGUUUUCUAGCCUCUGCUAUUUUCUGGAACUUAUCUACAUUUCAGUAUUUGCUUAAUAAUUUUGAGCUGACACUAGCAACAUAAUUGUGUCUGGAUUGUGUAUGUGUAUGUCUUGUGUGUGUUGGCAGGGGGUGGGUAUAACCUAUGUCAGUGUUUUUCAAUGUGAGCAAAUUUUAAUAAACUUUUAUAUUUAAUGUGAACAUUAACUGUC